rnacentral:rRNA from 1 species
UACGUAGGGUGCGAGCGUUAAUCGGAAUUACUGGGCGUAAAGCGUGCGCAGGCGGUGAUGUAAGACAGGUGUGAAAUCCCCGGGCUUAACCUGGGAACUGCAUUUGUGACUGCAUCGCUGGAGUGCGGCAGAGGGGGAUGGAAUUCCGCGUGUAGCAGUGAAAUGCGCAGAUAUCAGGAGGAACACCGGUGGCGAAGGCGAGUCUCUGGACGAAUCCUGACACUGAGGCACGAAAGCUAGGGGAGCAAACAGG